GACGAACGCUGGCGGCGUGCUUAACACAUGCAAGUCGAACGGAAAGGCCCUGCUUUUGUGGGGUGCUCGAGUGGCGAACGGGUGAGUAACACGUGAGUAACCUGCCCUUGACUUUGGGAUAACUUCGGGAAACUGGGGCUAAUACCGGAUAGGAGCUCCUGCUGCAUGGUGGGGGUUGGAAAGUUUCGGCGGUUGGGGAUGGACUCGCGGCUUAUCAGCUUGUUGGUGGGGUAGUGGCUUACCAAGGCUUUGACGGGUAGCCGGCCUGAGAGGGUGACCGGCCACAUUGGGACUGAGACACGGCCCAGACUCCUACGGGAGGCAGCAGUGGGGAAUAUUGCACAAUGGGCGGAAGCCUGAUGCAGCAACGCCGCGUGCGGGAUGACGGCCCUCGGGUUGUAAACCGCUUUCGCCUGUGACGAAGCGUGAGUGACGGUAAUGGGUAAAGAAGCACCGGCUAACUACGUGCCAGCAGCCGCGGUGAUACGUAGGGUGCGAGCGUUGUCCGGAUUUAUUGGGCGUAAAGGGCUCGUAGGUGGUUGAUCGCGUCGGAAGUGUAAUCUUGGGGCUUAACCCUGAGCGUGCUUUCGAUACGGGUUGACUUGAGGAAGGUAGGGGAGAAUGGAAUUCCUGGUGGAGCGGUGGAAUGCGCAGAUAUCAGGAGGAACACCAGUGGCGAAGGCGGUUCUCUGGGCCUUUCCUGACGCUGAGGAGCGAAAGCGUGGGGAGCGAACAGGCUUAGAUACCCUGGUAGUCCACGCUGUAAACGGUGGGUACUAGGUGUGGGGUCCAUUCCACGGGUUCCGUGCCGUAGCUAACGCUUUAAGUACCCCGCCUGGGGAGUACGGCCGCAAGGCUAAAACUCAAAGGAAUUGACGGGGCCCCGCACAAGCGGCGGAGCAUGCGGAUUAAUUCGAUGCAACGCGUAGAACCUUACCUGGGUUUGACAUGGAUCGGGAGUGCUCAGAGAUGGGUGUGCCUCUUUUGGGGUCGGUUCACAGGUGGUGCAUGGCUGUCGUCAGCUCGUGUCGUGAGAUGUUGGGUUAAGUCCCGCAACGAGCGCAACCCUUGUUCACUGUUGCCAGCACGUUAUGGUGGGGACUCAGUGGAGACCGCCGGGGUCAACUCGGAGGAAGGUGGGGAUGACGUCAAGUCAUCAUGCCCCUUAUGUCCAGGGCUUCACGCAUGCUACAAUGGCUGGUACAGAGAGUGGCGAGCCUGUGAGGGUGAGCGAAUCUCGGAAAGCCGGUCUCAGUUCGGAUUGGGGUCUGCAACUCGACCUCAUGAAGUCGGAGUCGCUAGUAAUCGCAGAUCAGCAACGCUGCGGUGAAUACGUUCCCGGGGCU
rnacentral:rRNA from 1 species